rnacentral:misc_RNA from 1 species
UACGGAGGGUGCAAGCGUUAAUCGGAAUUACUGGGCGUAAAGCGCGAGUAGGUGGCUUGAUAAGCCGGUUGUGAAAGCCCCGGGCUCAACCUGGGAACGGCAUCCGGGACUGUCAGGCCAGAGUGCAGGAGAGGAAGGUAGAAUUUCCGGUGUAGCGGUGAAAUGCGUAGAGAUCGGGAGGAAUACCAGUGGCGAAGGCGGCCUUCUGCACUGACACUGACACUGAGGUGCGAAAGCGUGGGUAGCAAACAGG